GUCAAUGAUGAUAUAAUCCAUGUUGUUGAGGUGUAGUGGAACCAAGAUCCUGUUUACAGGUGAACCUACUUGGUGAAGCUACAUUCAUAUGAUGUUAUUGGAUUUCACUGAGGU